CCAAAAACUUAGCUCAACUAACUCCUAUGUAUUCCCCACCCACGUAAUAAACCAAUAAAACAUUUUACAUGUUUAGUAAAGGCGAUUAAAAAAUAUCUAAAAGCUAUAGAAACUAGUACCGCAAGGGAAAAGUGAAAUAAAAAUGAAAAACUUCAAGCACAAAAAAGUAGAGCUAUAAUCUCGUACCUUUUGCAUCAUGGUCUAACUAGUCUACCCAAGCAAAAUGAAUUUUAAGUUUGACCCCCCGAAACUAGAUGAGCUACUUAAAAACAGCCUUUAGGGCCAACCCGUCUCUGUUGCAAAAGAGUGGGAAGAUUUUUAAGUAGAGGUGAUAAACCUACCGAACCUAGAGAUAGCUGGUUAUUCAGGAAAAGGAUUUAAGUCCUACCUUAGGUUUUUUGUACAUUUAUAGUACACCCUUAACCUUAAGAGCUAUUCAAAUAAGGUACAGCCUAUUUGAAACAGGAUACAACCUCCACCAACGGGUAA
rnacentral:rRNA from 1 species